GGUUGCGAUCAUACCAGCACUAAUGCAACCGGAUCCCAUCAGAACUCCGCAGUUAAGCGUGCUUGGGCGAGAGUAGUACUAGGAUGGGUGACCCCCUGGGAAGUCCUCGUGUUGCAGCCC
rnacentral:rRNA from 1 species